CCUACGGGUGGCAGCAGUGAGGAAUAUUGGUCAAUGGGCGCGAGCCUGAACCAGCCAAGUCGCGUGAAGGAUGACUGCCCUACGGGUUGUAACCUUCUUUUACAAAGGAAUAAAGUGAGGCACGUGUGCCUUUUUGUAUGUACUUUAUGAAUAAGGAUCGGCUAACUCCGUGCCAGCAGCCGCGGUAAUACGGGGGAUGAGAGUGUUAUACGGAUUUAUUGGGUUGAAAGGGUGCGUAGGCGGAUUUUUAAGUGAGCGGUAAAAUGUCCGGGCUAAACCGGGGCCGGCCGUUGAAACUGGGGAUCUUGAGUGGGCGAGAGGUAUGCGGAAUGCGUGGUGUAGCGGUGAAAUGCAUAGAUAUCACGCAGAACUCCGGUUGCGAAGGCAGCAUGCCGGCGCCCGACUGACGCUGAGGCGCGAAAGCGUGGGGAGCGAACAGGAUUAGAUACCCUAGUAGUC
rnacentral:rRNA from 1 species